AGAGUUUGAUCCUGGCUCAGAUUGAACGCUGGCGGCAGGCCUAACACAUGCAAGUCGAACGGUAACAGGAAGCAGCUUGCUGCUUCGCUGACGAGUGGCGGACGGGUGAGUAAUGUCUGGGAAACUGCCUGAUGGAGGGGGAUAACUACUGGAAACGGUAGCUAAUACCGCAUAACGUCGCAAGACCAAAGAGGGGGACCUUCGGGCCUCUUACCAUCAGAUGUGCCCAGAUGGGAUUAGCUAGUAGGUGGGGUAACGGCUCACCUAGGCGACGAUCCCUACUGGUCUGAGAGGAUGACCAGCCACACUGGAACUGAGACACGGUCCAGACUCCUACGGGAGGCAGCAGUGGGGAAUAUUGCACAAUGGGCGCAAGCCUGAUGCAGCCAUGCCGCGUGUAUGAAGAAGGCCUUCGGGUUGUAAAAGUCCUUUAACGGGGAGGAAGGCGAUGUGGUAAUAAACCGCGUCGAUUGCGUUACCCGCAGAAGAACACCGGCUAACUUCGUGCCACAACCCGCGUAAUACCGAGGGUGCAGCGUUAAUCGGAUUACUGGCGUAAACGCACCCAGGCGGNUGUCAAGUCGAUGUAAAUCCCCGGCUAACCUGGACUGAUUCNAACUGGGAGGUUGAUUUUUANAGGGGGNGAUCAUUNCGGGAA
rnacentral:rRNA from 1 species